CUUUCUCUCCAGUUAACUCAAAAAUGAAAGAUGAUCAAGGAGCUGUUUUGCACAUUAGAGAACAACUCAAGUUUUAGCACAGGAAGAAGGAGAAAAAUGUUUCCAGCUGAUGCAUCUAGGAAGCUUACUGGCAGCAUUAUCUUUCCCUGACUGCCUUUCCAAGUCAGGACUCUCUUCUUGAUGCAACUUUUGGUCUACCUGGUGCCUGAAACUAUCUUCUAAAGGGCAUGAAGGCAAGCUGUGUAAGAGCACAGCUCCCAGGGAAAUUAUGGUGCUACUUGGUCUGGAAUGCAGAUCUUAGGUUCUCACUGUGGUUCUUGUUGGUUCUGUGGAGGUCUGUCUGCACAUCAGGAGCCAAGGGAAGCAUUUGACAGAUAAGUUGCAAUCUUCAGCCUUCCACAUUUCUGAAAUAGAAAAAUUAAUAAGAAAACUAGUAUCUCUACUUCUUCAUCUGGAACCAUACAGCUGUGAAUUUGAUAAAGCAAGUCAGGAGACUCAGAUUCUAAGCAAACUGCACAGCAGAGCAGUUGUCUUCCCUGAUUUUCUUCUAUCUCCUCCUCCCUGUCAUGUCUAUGAAGGCUUCUGUAGAAAUUUUAUCAAGUGUGCAAGCUGCUGUGAGGAACCCUGUGUUUUUACAGAUGCUGAGUGCAGGCAGUGCAGAGGCUGCUGCUGCUGGACCAACCCCAACUAAUUCCUCCUCCCAGAGCUUCUUGAGGUACAAAGACAGCACUGACAAGAAGUUACUUGGAAAUGGUGGAGUUUGAUCUGCUGAUGAGGGAUUAUGAAGAAAAUAAUCUUCAUAACCUUCACAGAUCUGUAGAGGUUGCUGAAAUAUCCUAUAUUAUUUGAACAGAAACUGCCUCAGAAAGAUAAUGAGUUUAUACCUCAGAAGAGGAGAUGGGCAAAAUAAUCAGGUUCAGCUUUGAAAUGGAGAAGCCAUUGUUUUAAGGACCAUCAAAUCAUACUAACAUCAGUGGUGAGGCAAGAAUCCUCAGAAUGAAUUGUCAUAGGAACAUUGAACAAGGAGGAAACAUACCCUAUUUUAGUUCCUUACUCUUUCAAGUUGUUUGCUAAAUUUGACCACAGAUAUCUUUACAUGCUUUAUCUUCUAAAUAACCUUUUUCGGUAUUUUGAAGAAACCUGGGAGAAGAAAUGCAUAGAAUCUUUGAUAAGAAUCACGUUUUGCGCCUUCUUGAAAAGCUGGUCACUGAAUCUGUUUAAAUACCUAGUGGGCUGGCCUGUUCCCCCAGCAGGACACAAGAGUGUUGACAUAAACCGACGGCUGAAUUUUCAAGGGUGAGGUUUACAGUAGAUGUAAUAGCAAGGAAGUGGAAAAGGCAAUUAAAAAAAAAAGAGUAUGUGUGUUCUAAUUAAGAGUGAAGAUAGUGUAAUCUGGUGCUUUCUGUUAUAGAGACCUGUCAUGGAUUAACCCCAGCCACAAAAUAAGCUCCACACAGCCGCUUGGAGAAAAUCAGGAGGGUAAAAGCCAGAAAACUCAUGGGUUGAGAUAAAGGCAGUUUAAUAGUGAAAGCAAAUGCCACUGUGCUGCUUUUCAGCUGCUUUACAGUGGCUAGCACAGAGUUGUGUUUUGGAUUUGUACUGAAAAUAGAGUUGAUAAUAUAGAGAUGAUUUUGUUAUUGCUGAGCAGAGCUUGCACAGAGUCAAGGCCUUUUCUGCUUUCUGAACGCACAUGUUGGUGAGGAAGCUGGGAGAGUACACAGCCUGGAAAGGUGAUCCAAACUGACCAAAGGGCUAUUCCAGCCCAUGUGACAUUAUUCUCAGUAUAUAAUGCGAGGGACCAAAGAAGGAAGCAGGGCACAAGUUUGGAGUGAUGGCAUUUGUCUGUCACUGUUAUGUGUGAUGGGGCCCUGAUCUCCUGGAUGUGGCUGAACACCUGUGUGCCCAUGGGAAGUAGUGAAUUAAUUCCUUCUUUUGGUUUGCUUGUGUGCAUGACCUCAUUUUAAAUUGUAUACAAAUUUUCAAAUUAUAAGCAUUUGGGAUUAAUUUCUUCAAGU